rnacentral:rRNA from 1 species
UGGUGGAGUGAUUUGUCUGGUUAAUUCGAUAACGAACGAGACCUUAAUCUGCUAAAUAGAAUCGCAAACGCAAGUUUGUGCAUUCUUCUUAGAGAGACUGGCUGCAUGUAGUAGUCGGAAGUUUGAGGCAAUAACA